rnacentral:rRNA from 1 species
AACGCGAAGAACCUUACCAAGGUUUGACAUGCAGGGAAAAGCCGUAGAGAUAUGGUGUCCGUAAGGGUCCUGCACAGGUGGUGCAUGGCUGUCGUCAGCUCGUGUCGUGAGAUGUUGGGUUAAGUCCCGCAACGAGCGCAACCCUCGUCCUAUGUUGCCAGCGGGUAAUGCCGGGGACUCAUAGGAGACUGCCGGGGUCAACUCGGAGGAAGGUGGGGAUGACGUCAAGUCCUCAUGCCCCUUAUGUCUUGGGCUGCAAACAUGCUACAAUGGCCAGUACAAAGGGCUGCGAGACCGUGAGGUGGAGCGAAUCCCAAAAAGCUGGUCUCAGUUCGGAUUGGGGUCUGCAACUCGACCCCAUGAAGUCGGAGUCGCUAGUAAUCGCAGAUCAGCAACGCUGCGGUGAAUACGUUCCCGGGCCUUGUA